GUGCUCGCUUUGGCAGCACAUAUACUAAAAUUGGAACGAUACAGAGAAGAUUUGCAUGGCCCUGUGCAAGGAUGACACGCAUAUUCAUGAAGCGUUCCAUAUUUGA
ensembl:snRNA U6 U6 spliceosomal RNA